rnacentral:rRNA from 1 species
CGGACGGGUGAGUAACGCGUGAGAAUCUGCCCUCAGGAGGGGGACAACAGCUGGAAACGGCUGCUAAUACCCCAUAUGCCGAAAGGUGAAACGAUUUUUCGCCUGAGGAUGAGCUCGCGUCUGAUUAGCUGGUUGGUGGGGUAACGGCCUACCAAGGCUUCGAUCAGUAGCUGGUCUGAGAGGACGAUCAGCCACACUGGGACUGAGACACGGCCCAGACUCCUACGGGAGGCAGCAGUGGGGAAUUUUCCGCAAUGGGCGCAAGCCUGACGGAGCAACGCCGCGUGAGGGAUGGAGGCCUUUGGGCUGUAAACCUCUUUUCUCAAGGAAGAAGAUCUGACGGUACUUGAGGAAUAAGCCACGGCUAAUUCCGUGCCAGCAGCCGCGGUAAUACGGGAGUGGCAAGCGUUAUCCGGAAUUAUUGGGCGUAAAGCGUCCGCAGGCGGCCAAGCAAGUCUGUUGUUAAAUCGUGGAGCUCAACUCCAUCACGGCAAUGGAAACUGUUCGGCUUGAGUAUGGUAGAGGCAGAGGGAAUUUCCGGUGUAGCGGUGAAAUGCGUAGAUAUCGGGAAGAACACCAGUGGCAAAAGCGCUCUGCUGGGCCAUUACUGACGCUCAUGGACGAAAGCCAGGGGAGCGAAAGGGAUUAGAUACCCCAGUAGUC